AUUGAACGCUGGCGGCAUGCCUUACACAUGCAAGUCGAACGGUAACAGGUCUUCGGAUGCUGACGAGUGGCGAACGGGUGAGUAAUACAUCGGAACGUGCCCGAUCGUGGGGGAUAACGAAGCGAAAGCUUUGCUAAUACCGCAUAAGAUCUACGGAUGAAAGCAGGGGACCGCAAGGCCUUGCGCGAACGGAGCGGCCGAUGGCAGAUUAGGUAGUUGGUGGGAUAAAGGCUUACCAAGCCGACGAUCUGUAGCUGGUCUGAGAGGACGACCAGCCACACUGGGACCGAGACACGGCCCAGACUCCUACGGGAGGCAGCAGUGGGGAAUUUUGGACAAUGGGCGAAAGCCUGAUCCAGCCAUGCCGCGUGCAGGAUGAAGGCCUUCGGGUUGUAAACUGCUUUUGUACGGAACGAAAAGACUCUGGUUAAUACCUGGGGUCCAUGACGGUACCGUAAGAAUAAGCACCGGCUAACUACGUGCCAGCAGCCGCCGUAAGAC
rnacentral:rRNA from 1 species